ensembl:snRNA U6 U6 spliceosomal RNA
GUGCUCGCUUCGGCAGCACAUAGACUAAAAUUGGAAUGAUACAGAGAUUAGCAUGUCUCCUGCGCAAGGAUGACAUGCAAAUUCGUGUUCCAUAUUCUU